UGAAUUAUGAAAGCGCCAGAACUACAAGUUGUGUAGUUGACGAGGAGGAGUUUUAUCGAGAUUUCGGCGGAUGACUCCCGGUUGUUCAUCACAACCGAAAGCUUUUACUUAAAUCACAGAGGUGACUCGGUGGACAAAGGUAAAGGUUUGAUGAGA
rnacentral:ncRNA from 2 species